rnacentral:rRNA from 1 species
AUUGAACGCUGGCGGCAGGCUUAACACAUGCAAGUCGAGCGGGGGGAGGUAGCUUGCUACCGGACCUAGCGGCGGACGGGUGAGUAAUGCUUAGGAAUCUGCCUAUUAGUGGGGGACAACAUCUCGAAAGGGAUGCUAAUACCGCAUACGUCCUACGGGAGAAAGCAGGGGAUCUUCGGACCUUGCGCUAAUAGAUGAGCCUAAGUCGGAUUAGCUAGUUGGUGGGGUAAAGGCCUACCAAGGCGACGAUCUGUAGCGGGUCUGAGAGGAUGAUCCGCCACACUGGGACUGAGACACGGCCCAGACUCCUACGGGAGGCAGCAGUGGGGAAUAUUGGACAAUGGGGGGAACCCUGAUCCAGCCAUGCCGCGUGUGUGAAGAAGGCCUUAUGGUUGUAAAGCACUUUAAGCGAGGAGGAGGCUACUCUAGUUAAUACCUAGGGAUAGUGGACGUUACUCGCAGAAUAAGCACCGGCUAACUCUGUGCCAGCCGCCGCAGUAACAC